rnacentral:rRNA from 1 species
UGCAAGUCGAACGGUGAUGGCCAGCUUGCUGGUCUGAUCAGUGGCGAACGGGUGANUAACACGUGAGCAACCUACCCUUCACUCUGGGAUAAGCCCUGGAAACGGGGUCUAAUACCGGAUAUGAGACGUACAGGCAUCUGUAGCGUCUGGAAAGAUUUAUCGGUGGGGGAUGGGCUCGCGGCCUAUCAGCUUGUUGGUGGGGUAGUGGCCUACCAAGGCGACGACGGGUAGCCGGCCUGAGAGGGCGACCGGCCACACUGGGACUGAGACACGGCCCAGACUCCUACGGGAGGCAGCAGUGGGGAAUAUUGCACAAUGGGCGCAAGCCUGAUGCAGCGACGCCGCGUGAGGGAUGACGGCCUUCGGGUUGUAAACCUCUUUCAGCAGGGAAGAAGCGCAAGUGACGGUACCUGCAGAAGAAGCGCCGGCUAACUACGUGCCAGCAGCCGCGGUAAUACGUAGGGCGCAAGCGUUGUCCGGAAUUAUUGGGCGUAAAGAGCUCGUAGGCGGUUUGUCGCGUCUGCUGUGAAAACCUAAGGCUCAACCUUGGGCUUGCAGUGGGUACGGGCAGACUAGAGUGCGGUAGGGGUGACUGGAAUUCCUGGUGUAGCGGUGGAAUGCGCAGAUAUCAGGAGGAACACCGAUGGCGAAGGCAGGUCACUGGGCCGCAACUGACGCUGAGGAGCGAAAGCAUGGGGAGCGAACAGGAUUAGAUACCCUGGUAGUCCAUGCCGUAAACGUUGGGCACUAGGUGUGGGGCUCAUUCCACGAGUUCCGUGCCGCAGCAAACGCAUUAAGUGCCCCGCCUGGGGAGUACGGCCGCAAGGCUAAAACUCAAAGAAAUUGACGGGGGCCCGCACAAGCGGCGGA